CUAAAAUUUUGAGAUUUUAGAAAAGCGUAUUUAUAUUAGAAAAAGUAAUUUGAAAGUGGAAAAAAUAACGAGAUUUGAAAAUCAGCUUCAAUGGCCGAAACCGGAAGUGACGUCUUGUAAUGGACUGAGAAAAUAAAACAUAUGACAUGUGGCAUACAGACAAGUUUACUAGAUGGAUCUUUCAUCAUUUUGGAAAUACAAGAAGAGUUAAUAUUCCCUGUUUCUAUUUUGAAACAAAUCACAGAAACAUUCUACAAUUUUAUUUUAUAUAAUAAAUACCAAUAAAUGUAAAUACAAAAUCACA